CUCAGGAGAAGACAAGAUAUUAUAGAGUUGGAUUGCUCACAUCGUCAUUGAAUUUUAUCCAGAUGAUCUCAUUAUUAUUGUUUUUAAUGGCUUUUUUCUUUUUUAUUUAUUUUCUUGAAGGUGGACCAUCAGAGCAUUAAGGUUCUCGCCUAGAGGUGAUAUUUAUGCCUAGGGGUGGUUCAGGUUUCCUGGGCUCCAACAACCUGUUGACUAUUUUAUUCUGGAGCUGGACCACAAGGUAAUUCAUGGCGAAUUCAUUUUCUGUAUUAUGCAUUUCUGAGUAUUUACAAUUCAGAUCAAUCAAAACGAACAUAUCAGAACCCUUGUAAAGGAAGCAAUUGCAUUCGUUGGAUGGAUAGUUGCAAUCAAUGACAGUAUGAACCUCUGGCUUAAACACUAGACUAUGAGACCCCAGUUCAGGGUAUCAGCAAGUUUCAUCACAGAGAGAGUCAAUUCGCUUACUAAUUUCAGGUCGAGCCAGAGUGCAAAAUGCACAAGAAAAUUAUCUAUAAAUAUACAUUGACAUUUGAUUCAGUGACCACUGCACCAUGCCACUGACAAACAUCUUACUCUGCCUCUUAAAACAUCAAACUACAGUAAAUCACAACCUAAACGAAUAUUAAAGUUGGCCUCCAAAUAAUGUCUACCUGACUAGAGGCAGUGUAAAACUUAUAUUUGCUAUACUUCUCAGAACUCAGAAUUCGGUAUCAGAGAGAUUUCACCACGAUAACAGGAAACAAGAAAUGGUACUGAUCUGUCUGGAUUUUAAUCCAGAACCAAAAAACUAAGUAGAACUGAUCUUCGUGUUGUCCUUUCUCAUUCCAACUGUCUCUCCAUCAAUUCUAUCUAGCGACAUCCCAUUGGAAUUCAAGAAACUAGGCUGAUUUGUAGAUGCAAGCAGUCUAGCCCACAUCCUAUCUGUCAACUUCACUGUGUUUUGUGCCUCAGUCACACGUGCAAUGGGAAUAUAAGCAUGUUUGCUGUUCACUGGUCCAACUGUGAAGCCUGUGUACCCAGCCAUGGCUCCAUGAACAGCACUAUGCGCCAGAAGAGUGCAAUAGAUGUUGUCUGAUGCAUUACUUGGAAUGGCUCGUAUCAUGUAUGUGGGAUCUGCAGAGAAAAAUAAUAAUAUUUAGUCUUGCUAAAAUUCACUUUCUUGAGUAUAUGCAUUCUUGAUUUUUGUCCCUAGAAUAUUUGUCCUGCCAAGUACUACUUCAUUUUCACUAAAUAAACCUCUAUAAUCUAGCCUCAAAAUAAUCAGUAAUAUUAUUGUAAAUAUACGCUCUUUCAAAAAAAACAAUUUCUAGCAAAAGUUUUUGCACAGCCACAAAAUUCUGCUUGUUCAAAUAUAUAUCUUUCUUCCAAAUAACAUCCUAAGAUAAAUACAGGAGCUAUAGUUUGCAUAAAAAAAAAUCACCUUAGAUUAUGGAAAGGUUCUAGCAGAAAUAGAAGUUAUGAAAGGUGGCACUUCAUGAAGCAAGGUACAACGUAUAAUCCAGAAUCACAGAAUAUACCUAUAUAUUUCAUAUUUACUUGCAUCUUCCGAACAUUCAUAAAAUGAUCCUGUGACAAUGCAUAUACAAAUACUUAAAAAGGAAAAAUUAGAUAAUAAGAAAGAAAAUAGAUGCAAAGACAGGAGAAGAGUGUUGUUGCUCAAACAAAUGACACAUGCAGCAAUAGAACUUUAUUAAAUUUAGUUAUUAGGUGAAUUGUGAAAUGCAACCCAAGGGGGCUCCAUACUCUUUUAUACUCCAGCUAAAAGUAAACAAAUAAAUAACAGAAAGAUGAAGGAAGACAAAAUGCUACAUCAAAUUUCUGAACAAUAAAUGGUCCAUCAUAUUGUUAUAUUUUCUCAGCUAUUUCUGUUGAAAAUGGCCAACUUACUCAAAAUAAUAAUAAUUUUUUUUUUCACUUCUAUCCUAGUAUUUCAACUUUAACAAAAUUAAACAUGACCAUUUCCAAGUAAUAUGAUUGUGUCCAUCCCUAGGAUUUUGCCAACAAAAACCAUCAAGCAUUUCACAUGAAUUUAGCAAAAAUUAAUUCAUCCUUAUCAUAUAUAUUUUUUACCUUCAAUAAAUUCACCUUCAGGUGAUUAAAGGUUCUCAUAGGAUGAAAUCGUUCAAUUAUAACACUUAAAUUGGCCAUGGAAUCAAGGCAUAAACCAUAAUAUUUAAACUAAGGGCUUGGCCAAAAGUGGAAAAAUGUUUAAAACGUUUUGAAUUUUGAUGUAGUUUUGCCGAUUCUAAUUUAGGGGAAGAUAAUAUAGCUCAAAAUUCCUUCAUUGGCAUCAAAUUUGAGACGAAGUUAAGAGUCAACAAAUGGUUGCAUACAAAGGCUUGAGCUACACCCACUAUGUACAGCAAUGUUUAGUUUCAAUGCCCAAAAGACUCAUGAAAGGAGAGGCUAUUUUAUGACCUUAGCAGAAAUGAAAAUCAUGAAGCGAUAGAGGAGGCAAUGUGUUCCACCUUAAUGUACUGUGACAACCACAGACCAACAUCAAGAAGUAGCCUGUUUCCUGAUGCAUCUCUCUCAUCAGUUCUAUGUGUGCUCCGAGCAGCAUAUUCCUGCCCUGCUCCUUCUGCUAUCACAAUGACCAAAUGCCCAUUUUCUUUUAGCCGCUGUUCAAUAAAUUCAAAGAGCCCACCUGGGCCUUCCAGAUAGAAUGGGGAUUCUGGAAUUAAGCAACAAUCCACAUCUCUACUUGCCAAAGUUGCAUACAUAGCAAUGAAACCACUGUAUCUACCCAUCAGUUUAACUAUUCCAACUCCAUUUUCCACGCUUUCAACCUCCACAUGUGCAGCGUUUAUUGCUCUUUGAGCUUCCUCAACAGCAGUAUCAAAUCCAAAGGAUUUAUCUAUUACAGCAAUAUCAUUAUCAAUGGUCUUGGGGAUCCCAGCCACUGCCACUUGAAGACCACGUUUCUCUACUUCCUCGUAAAUUUGACCUGCUCCCUUCUGGGUGCCAUCACCUCCUAUAAUAUAGACCUGAUUUAUUCCCCUGUCCUGAAUGUUAUCAACUAUUUUGUUGGUAUCAUGACCUCCUCGAGAGGUGCAAAGAAAGGUGCCACCACGCUUGUGGAUAUCAUUCACAACUUUAGGAGUCAAUGUCACGGUGUUUUUUGAGUAGAAACCCCUAUACCCGCCCUGGAAGUCUCAUCAGCGACAAAUAGAAGAAGGAAGAUAAGUUGAGGAGUCAAAAAACAAGACCCUGACUCCCUAUAAAAGUAAAGGAGACUACCUGAAUGCCAAGUAUAUCAUUGACACCAUACAUAUAGUUCAAUCCGCAAACAAUCUCCCGGAUGACAGUAUUGAUCCCAGGACACAAGCCCCCACAAGUCACAAUGCAAGCACGCACUUCUUCAGGCGUAAAAUAGACCUUCUCUCGAGGCCCUGCACGCCUAAAAUGCACUCCUCUAGAGCUAUCUUUCCGGACAACAAUCUUCUGCGCAACCGCAUCUUCGGGUAUAACGAAAUUUUGCUUGACAAUAGCAUAAGCUUGGCUGUUCUGCAAUGGAUUCGGGUAGGAAGGUAAAUCAGGAAGGAAAUCUGUCAAGUGAGGAACAUCUU
rnacentral:misc_RNA from 1 species